rnacentral:tRNA from 1 species
GGGGCGGUAGCGCAGUGGUCGACGCGCCCUCUUGUCAGGAGGGGAUGACGCCGGUUCGAAUCCGGUCCGCCUCC